ensembl:lncRNA
GAGAGGCAGCACUGCCCUGUCCCCGUAUCGCUGCCCUCGCACGGCACCCGGGUGCCUCCUGCCGACGGGCCGCUCCCGGGCCCGACCGCGGGCUGCAGCCCCGCGCCCAAGCUGCUGGCGCGGCCUCCCGGCGCCCGCACGGGUCAUUCCCCGCAGUCCGGCCCGGGGUGUGCGGGGCCCGGGGUGUGCGGGGCCCGGGGUGUGCGGGGCUGAGGUGCGGGCCCGCAGUGGCACCUGCUGUCGGGGCCGGGCAGCGCCGGGGUCUGAGCGCCGUUUGCCCAGGAUACGGCACCGUUUAGCGCGCUCUACCCAUCCCACCCGACGGGAUUUCGGCUGGAUUGCGAACCCUUCCAGCGGGAGUUCUGCCUGCCUGAGCACCUUGGCCCAUUAACCAAAAGGACAAAUUUCUGCAGAGACACCUUCCCAGAGGCUCAGCAGACGGCUGUGCAGCACUCACUGGGGUGGUCUCCUUGGAGCCCUCAUUCAGAACUGUUAAAACCAGCAGACAUUCAAAGUAGACCAAGACUGGGAAUGCUAAAUGUUGCACACUCAAAACCAUAUGAGCAAAGCGUUUGUUUGCCCUCAAACCUAGGGAACAGCCUACUAACACAGGUGAUGGAUGAUGAAGGAUGGGGUGCAGGAACUGGAGCUUGCUGGGAGUCUGGGAAGGACCAAGGGUCUCUGUGUGAUGAGUUCUUUGCCUCUUGGGUGCUGCAGGGGGUGGCCUCCCUUCUUCCCCAUUUCAUGCAAGGGAGGGUGGGAUGCUGGGUAAGGAUGUAAGAGGGGAUAAGGAACAUGUUAAUGGGCAUCUUCCAAAGACAGAUUUCAUUUGCUUUGAAGAUCUGUGCUUUCUUUUCUGUUAAGACAUAUGGAAAUUGAGUGCAUUGUGGCCUACAAUCAUGUGGAUGUUGGUUUUUCUGUUAUGACUAAGGAUUCAAUACUGUGUAGCACCCUGUAAUGUGUAAUAGGGAAUCUUCAGUUUGCCACUGUAGACAAGUUUCUUUGAUUACUUUGUGACUAGUGCAAUUGGAAACAUAUUCCAAACACAAUGAUGGGAAGAAAGGGAGGCCUGUAUUUCCCUUAAGUGCUCUCCAUGUGAUCUGUCUGGAUCAUGUACCCAUGCAGUUUUCUGUGGUUCUUUUGCAUACAGCUGCCCCAAGUGAAGUAAAAGACUCUCAGCUUUCUUGACCUAAAAAGAGUUAUUCUUUCAAAGCAUGGGGUUUUCCAGGUUUGUAAUAAAAGUAUUGUUGUGUUCCUUAAAGGUAGAGCUUCUGCAAGUGCAGUUCAUAAACAACAGUGUCAUGGGAUGUUUUCAGAGCAGCUCAAGGUCUGCUCUACCUCCACAGAGAUCAUGAAAGUCUUGCUAUUGACGAUAUCCUACUUCACCUCCAGAAGAGAGGUCUCUCAGGGUUCUAUGUCACAUCUGCAAGCCCUUCUGGCUGCUAACCCAUGUCCUUUGUGAAGCUGUGCCAGGCACUGAUUUACCAGAGGUGCAGUAAAAUGCUGCAAUCUACCUUCAAAUUCCUAGAGACAGAAAAUUAAUUCAUAAGCUUUGGUCUGCAGGUGUCAAUGCACAGUCCUGUCUGUCCAGGUGGGAGAGUUCAGUCCUCUCCUUCGGUUGCAUUCAGGGGUUCAAAGACCUGAAUCAGCAUUUUUCAAGCCUGUACACACUUGAAUUGGAACAGUAAGAAAACAACCACAAAACUCGAGUGAAUGUACUGGGGAAAAAUCUUGAAAGAGCAAAGUGGAGAUCCAGCAACUCUGUGUGUCUGAUCAAUUUUUGCUUUUCCAUGUUCUACUGAUACCAUGUUCUAAAAAUUUUUGUAGCACAUUGAGCAAAGACACAGCUGCAGUGUCCAAACCAGGUGAGAUCUGGCAGGUUGGCUUCCCAGAGGUGCACAUACCACUCCACUGUAAUGCCUACUGCACGUCAAAGGCAGAUUUUGUAUUAGCUUUGAGACAAACUGCAAACUCUAAUCCAGCCAUGGAUUUGCUACAGAGAACACAACAAGCUUGUCAAUGGGUAUAGUGACUUGCCUCUUUUCCAGCUCUGGGAAAGGAAAAUAUAACAGUCUAGCACUAAUGUGAGCUCAAUGAUUUAGGAAUUUUGCUGUACUUAGUGGCUCUGCUAAUUGAGUGGAAAGACCAUCUCCUCUCUGCUUCUGCUCCUCCUGUUCUUUCCAAGCCCAAAAGGAGGGUGUAAGAACACAGCCUACCUCCUGUGUGCAGACAAGCAAAAGGGGAGGACAGCAUCCUCCUUUGCUUGUCUCCAACAGCCUGCAUACCAGCAGUAUGGAGCUUACCUUGUCCUUCCCCCUGGCAAACCAAGCAAACCAGCCACUAUUUCUGAGACACAUUCUGCUCACCUAGAUUUAGGGAAUCCAGACAGGACUAAGUAACACAAAAGGAGUGAAAUGGGUCUUAAUUUAAGGGAUCUUCAGCUACACUCAGCCCCAGUUUAUCAAGCUGGGACUUCAUCCCCAUCUUCAUGACAUGCUGUCAUAGGUUAGCAAGCAUAGUCCCGGAAGGGAUGUCCUUGCUAAGGGGUGCUUACAGUUUCCUCUGGGAACUGAUAGAACCUAUCAGCAGCCAGUUUGAAUAUGGACAAUUCUCUAAGCCACUUAAAGUUGUGACCACCUCUGCGAUCCACAUUUAAGAAUAGGCAAACUCCCCCUCCAAGCUCUCUCUCGUUUCCGGCGCUGGGACAGGUGGCUGCGGGGCCCGUGUGGGGGCCAGCGGGCCCGGCCAGACCCUGCUUGGGCCAGGCCGGGCCGGGCCACGGCCAUCCUGGAGCCGAUGGACCUGUUCCAGCCAUGGAACCCCCCCCCUGCCUUGCCGUGGGCAGCCGGAGCGGCUCGGCUCUCCCCCCUCUCCACUGUGAUAAGAAAAAUUCAACAUUCCAGCUGCAAAGCUGCAAGGCCGAGGUGAGAUUAACCCUUUUACUGCUGUGAAGAGCUGAAAACCCUAGGGAAGAGAGAGAGGAGAUGCUUAAAGCUGAAAUUCUGUUGUGAAGCUAUGAUACAUCAGAGUAUCCCGUUGUAAUUCCAUGAAGAUAUGGGGGGUGGAGUGUUCAGCUCGUAAGCAAAAGCACCUGCGCUGAGAUAGGCAGAUGCUGACGCAGCUGUAAUUUCAUGAGAAGUUUGGACAGGGAGAGAUGAACCAGAUGAGGACUUUUGCUCCAAAUGGGAAAGGAGAAAACCUCAGUCCCUAGAGAUGCUCCCAGAGGUAGUCCUAACGAUGAAGAUGAUGAAGACCCUUUGCUCCCAGGGAAGGAGAAGGGCCUCUGUUUUUGUUUCUGAACGGCUCAACCUUAAAAUUGUACCCCAAAAAACUUCAAGAGUGGACCCUUGAACGUGGGAAAACCAAUUGCUAUCUGUGUGUGACCUUGAACAAGCUGCAAGUCGGGGGAAGGGACUCACAUGCAGGCAGAGAGACUCCUCUUCCUAAAUGGACUGAACAAUAUUUGGAAGUGGGCGGCUGUCUCGUUGUGAUACUGUUUUCAUAGCAUGAGCAAGAAGAGAAUUCUCUUUCUAAAUGGACUAAACAAGGUUAUUAUGGUAGUGGUAAACAGACUGAACAUCUUAUGGGUUGUCUUUUCACAUUGUCAGUGGGAGAAGGG